rnacentral:rRNA from 1 species
GACGAACGCUGGCGGCGUGCUUAACACAUGCAAGUCGAACGAGCGGCGGACGGGUGAGUAAUGUAUGGGGACUGCCCGAUAGAGGGGGAUAACUACUGGAAACGGUAGCUAAUACCGCAUACUAUCGGAUAACCCAUAUGUGAUUAGCUAGUAGGUGGGGUAAUGGCUCACCUAGGCGACGAUCCCUAGCUGGUCUGAGAGGAUGAUCAGCCAAACUGGGACUGAGACACGGCCCAGACUCCUACGGAGGCAGCAGUGGGGAAUAUUGCACAAUGGGCGCAAGCCUGAUGCAGCCAUGCCGCGUGUAUGAAGAAGGCCUUAGGGUUGUAAAGUACUUUCAGCGGGGAUGCGUUACCCGCAGAAGAAGCACCGGCUAACUCCGUGCCAGCAGCCGCGGUAAUUC